rnacentral:lncRNA from 1 species
AAGAUACUUAUUGAAUCCAAAAGGCCACUCUGUCUCAGCACUCUGGCCUGUGGGGUUGAAGAGAGGCAGGUGUUUGGGAAGGGGAUGUUUGGGAAGGAGGUGUUGGGGAAGGAGGUGUUGGGGAAGGGGGAAGGAGGUGUUGGGAAGGAGGUGUUGGGGAAGGAGGUGUUUGGGAAAGAGGGGUUUGGGAAGGAGGUGUUGGGGAAGGAGGUGUUGGGAAGGAGGUGUUUGGGAAGGAGGUGUCUGGGAAGCCUGAUCAGCUAUCACAUCUCCCUUGGGAAUCUUGCCUUCAUGCAGUGAGUAUUUGCAACUG